GAUGAACGCUGGCGGCGUGCCUAAUACAUGCCAGUCGAGCGAACAGACGAGGAGCUUGCUCCUCUGACGUUAGCGGCGGACGGGUGAGUAACACGUGGAUAACCUACCUAUAAGACUGGGAUAACUUCGGGAAACCGGAGCUAAUACCGGAUAAUAUAUUGAACCGCAUGGUUCAAUAGUGAAAGACGGUUUUGCUGUCACUUAUAGAUGGAUCCGCGCCGCAUUAGCUAGUUGGUAAGGUAACGGCUUACCAAGGCAACGAUGGGUAGCCGACCUGAGAGGGUGAUCAGCCACACUGGGACUGAGACACGGUCCAGACUCCUACGGGAGGCAGCAGUAGGGAAUCUUCCGCAAUGGGCGAAAGCCUGACGGAGCAACGCCGCGUGAGUGAUGAAGGUCUUCGGAUCGUAAAACUCUGUUAUUAGGGAAGAACAAAUGUGUAAGUAACUAUGCACGUCUUGACGGUACCUAAUCAGAAAGCCACGGCUAACUACGUG
rnacentral:rRNA from 1 species